GGAAAACAAAAAAACAAAUCAAAACUUUCAACAACGGAUCUCUUGGUUCUGGCAUCGAUGAAGAACGCAGCGAAAUGCGAUAAGUAAUGUGAAUUGCAGAAUUCAGUGAAUCAUCGAAUCUUUGAACGCACAUUGCGCCCGGCAGUAAUCUGCCGGGCA
rnacentral:rRNA from 1 species